CCUACGGGAGGCAGCAGUGGGGAAUAUUGGACAAUGGGGGGAACCCUGAUCCAGCGACGCCGCGUGAGUGAAGGAGUAUUUCGGUAUGUAAAGCUCUAUCAGCAGGGAAGAAAGAAAUGACGGUACCUGACUAAGACGCCGCGGCUAACUACGUGCCAGCAGCCGCGGUAAUACGUAGGGGGCAAGCGUUAUCCGGAUUUACUGGGUGUAAAGGGAGCGUAGACGGCGAUGCAAGUCUGAAGUGAAAGGCGGGGGCCCAACCCCGGGACUGCUCUUGGAACUGCGUGGCUGGAGUGCAGGAGGGGCAGGCGGAAUUCCUGGUGUAGCGGUGAAAUGCGUAGAUAUCAGGAGGAACACCGGUGGCGAAGGCGGCCUGCUGGACUGCAACUGACGUUGAGGCCCGAAGGCGUGGGGAGCAAACAGGAUUAGAUACCCGGGUAGUC
rnacentral:rRNA from 1 species